CAGGCUGCUGCAACUGUUUAUUAAAAACACAGCACUCUGCAAACACGAAAGUGGACGUAUAGGGUGUGAUGCCUGCCCGGUGCUGGAAGGUUAAUUGAUGGGGUUAGCGUAAGCGAAGCUCUUGAUCGAAGCCCCAGUAAACGGCGGCCGUAACUAUAACGGUCCUAAGGUAGCGAAAUUCCUUGUCGGGUAAGUUCCGACCUGCACGAAUGGCAUAAUGAUGGCCACGCUGUCUCCAGCAGAGACUCAGUGAAAUCGAAAUCGCAGUGAAGAUGCUGUGUACCCGCGGCUAGACGGUAAGACCCCGUGAACCUUUACUACAGCUUUACAUUGAACUUUGACCUGACUUGUGCAGGAUAGGUGGGAGGCUAUGAAGCAGAUACGCCAGUAUUUGUGGAGUCAACCUUGAAAUACCACCCUGGUCAUGUUGGGGUUCUAACUUAGAUAUUCACAAUAUCGAGGACAAUGUAUGGUGGGUAGUUUGACUGGGGCGGUCUCCUCCUAAAGAGUAACGGAGGAGUACGAAGGUGCGCUCAGAACGGUCGGAAAUCGUUCAAAGAGUAUAAAGGCAAAAGCGCGCUUAACUGCGAGACCCACAAGUCGAGCAGGUACGAAAGUAGGUCUUAGUGAUCCGGUGGUUCUGUAUGGAAGGGCCAUCGCUCAACGGAUAAAAGGUACUCUGGGGAUAACAGGCUGAUACCGCCCAAGAGUUCAUAUCGACGGCGGUGUUUGGCACCUCGAUGUCGGCUCAUCUCAUCCUGGGGCUGAAGCAGGUCCCAAGGGUAUGGCUGUUCGCCAUUUAAAGAGGUACGCGAGCUGGGUUUAGAACGUCGUGAGACAGUUCGGUCCCUAUCUACCGUGGGCGUUGGAAAUUUGAGAGGAUCUGCUCCUAGUACGAGAGGACCAGAGUGGACGAACCUCUGGUGUUUCGGUUG
rnacentral:rRNA from 1 species